AUUGGUUUGCUGGCACCAUGUCUGAUGGAUUCUGUCACUGGCAGCUGCUUGGAAGCAGAGGUUCAGGAGCUCCCUGCAAAUGGGUAAUCCAGAAAAUUCCACUCUUCCCUGAACCCCUGGAUGAAAGGCAGAAGAUGGCAUUUUGUGUGAAAUACAUCUGUUGAAGCAUCAAGAAACUUACUAUAGAAGUGGCACCACCUCUUUCUGCUGAUGGACUCCUAGAUGUUGCGACCUCUGAAAUAUUGUGGCAACUCAUGUGUCUGCCCAGGACUUUCAGUCGUUACCAGGCAUGCUGUGACCAUUGGAAAACCUCAGGAAGAGACAAGACAGCUACAACCCAAGCUCACCAAAGGAAUCUCUGUCCCAGGAGCACCUAUCACGGCAGUCAGUGCAAGGCACAUCCACACUCCCCUUGUGGACAGCAGUAUCCUGGUUUAACAGAAAGGGUUGCAUCAUCCUUUCUUUUCCUGUGCCAUGGAAAGUUCUGCAUGCGGAUGAAGCGGAGAAUACGAAUGGAGAGCGUGAUGUAUCCCUGAGGAGACACUGAUCCUUUAGGUGUCAUAGUGACCUCCUGGCAUCCAAGGCUUGAUCCUAGCCUCGAGCUAGGAACCCUCCCAGCUAAGCAGGGCUGUGAAGGCUUGGUCAUUAAUACAGCGUCGAACUGCACCUCUCUCUUCUCCGGGGAAGCGUUGCCAAAGCCGCCCAGCUCGCUCGGUGAAGCGUGCUGCUUUUGUCCGUGGCAGGUAACGCCGUGCAAUCUUCC